ensembl:misc_RNA 7SK 7SK RNA
GGAUAUGAGAGUGAUCUGCCUGGAACAUCUGUCACCCUAUUGAUUACCAGGGUUGAUUCAGUUGAGCUGGCUGGCUAGACCAGUGUUUCUUCCUCCCUCACAGUCCCUGUGCAUCCCCCUGACCAAACCUGAACAAUUGGUGGGAGAGGACAAUCACCCCUGAUAGAGGAGGAUUGUUUCCUCCAUUAAGGGUAUAAAAGAAGCUGUGCUCCCCUGCUAGAACCACCAAACAAGCUCUCAAAAGAGUGACUAUCAAAACACAAACAUGUAUCAUUAUAAAUUACUAUGAU